GCCUUCAACAUUUAUCAUUUUUUUGUAUUGUGGAUUUGGAUGUGCCUUUUUAACAAAAGAUCAUCAACAUAUUAAAAUUAUCACAUAUAACAUUCACACCAUUUGAAUGUUUAUAUAACUUGCAAUAAUUUUUUUCAGCCCUACCAAAAAUCACAAAAUUGCAAAGAGGAGAAAACCUAUGGAAUUGAAGGAGAAUGAUUAACUCAAAACACAAAGAAACCUAACUCUAAGGAAUUUGCCAAUAGUCCAAUAACAAGUAAAUAAAAUCAAAUACAUAAAAUUAAAAGCACAUAAAAGUACCAAAUCAUUGCAGUUUCUUCAAACAAUUUUCUGGAAUUUUUUUGUUGUUGGAAACAAAAGCAAGAAAAUGAAAUUUGAACAAAAUUUCUACUAAAAUUUAUGCCAUUUUUGGAUUCACGUGACUUUGAAAACGUACUAGACUCAAGCAAAAUCAAAAGCACAAACGAAAAUCAAAAUAGAACACCUAGAAGCAACACAUGAUGGUUCAAGAAAGAACAAUUAAUUUGAACCACAUAAAAGGGACAAAACAACAAUUUAAUUGGUGAAAUGAGAUGGAAACAUGUUCAAGACAAAUAAAAAUAGUGAGCACAACACGAAAAUGAAGAAAGAAAGUAGUAGAAGAAGAAACACUUAGCUCACUAAAACUUGGCUCUAGAUACCAAAUGAUAGGUGUCUUCUUCUCCUUGCAUUGUUUUAUUUUGUAUCUUUUGAUGGAGUUGUGAAAGCUUGCUAGAAAGGAGGGAAUGAAUUAUGGAUUUGAAGUGAAUAAUAUGGGUUUGGGAGAAUGAGAGGUGAGGUCAACUCACUAGCAAGGAUUCUAGGGGAGGCUACACAAGAGACUAUCCUAAAGAGAGCUCA
rnacentral:lncRNA from 1 species